AUUGAACGCUGGCGGCGUGCCUAAUACAUGCAAGUCGAGCGAAUGGAUUAAGAGCUUGCUCCUAUGAAGUUAGCGGCGGACGGGUGAGUAACACGUGGGUAACCUGCCCAUAAGACUGGGUUAACUCCGGGAAACCGGGGCUAAUACCGGAUAACAUUUUGAACCGCAUGGUUCGAAAUUGAAAGGCGGCUUCGGCUGUCACUUAUGGAUGGACCCGCGUCGCAUUAGCUAGUUGGUGAGGUAACGGCUCACCAAGGCAACGAUGCGUUGCCGAGCUGAGAGGGUGAUCGGCCACACUGGGACUGAGACACGGCCCAGACUCCUACGGGAGGCAGCAGUAGGGAAUCUUCCGCAAUGGACGAAAGUCUGACGGAGCAACGCCGCGUGAGUGAUGAAGGCUUUCGGGUCGUAAAACUCUGUUGUUAGGGAAGAACAAGUGCUAGUUGAAUAAGCUGGCACCUUGACGGUACCUAACCAGAAAGCCACGGCUAACUACGUGCCAGCAGCCGCAGUAA
rnacentral:rRNA from 1 species